UUACGUCUACAUCACGUUGAAAACACUGAUUCCCGCACGAUCACCGAAGCUAAGCAACGUCGAGCCUGGCCAGUAUCUAGAUGGGUGACCGCUUUGGAAUACCAGGUACUGUAAG